rnacentral:misc_RNA from 1 species
UUAGGGAGACCUACACCCCUCAAAUAUUGAAAGCAAACAGCAAAUAAAUAUUGAGAUGGUCAAACCUAGGUCGGUCGAGGAUGUUAAGUAGCUUUCUAGUAAUUAAUGAUUUCGUUAA